rnacentral:lncRNA from 1 species
AGGUCCCUGCAUGUGGCUGGCCCCGUUCCCUCUAUGUGUUCUCAGUGUGUGCUGUGUGUACUUCACAUACCUUAAAGGAGCAGAGAGCCCCUCCCCACCCUGUGCCAGCACAGGCUGAUCACCCUGACCCCAGGUCUCAGAACAUGUCUCAGAUGGCCCCAGUCCUUUGGCGAGCUGUGGUGACACCAGGCCAGCCCAUGGGCUGGUGCCUCUCCUGCCUAAGUCCCAAAGCAGCCUAUGACAGGACGGGCAAACAGCACAGCUCAGCAGCUGGCCGUGGGGCCUUGGGCAGGGGUCAUCAUCCUCCUGUUCCAAAUACCAGCAGCUGCUCUGUAAGGUCACAUUGGUGUCCCUGCUGUGUUGCCAGUCCCCUCCCCAACCUGCAAAGCUUCCUCCAGCCUGUGAGUGCAGAAGUGAGUCCUGGCAGGAGGACCAGAGUCACUCUCUUGAGUUUUGUAGCCCCCACAGUUGUGUGUUCUUUGUACUGUCAAGUAGGUCAUGGGAUGGACAGCCGACCAGCCAUGGCCAUCUUUGAGCUGCUGGACUACAUAGUGAAUGAGCCACCUCCCAAGCUGCCCAGUGGUGUGUUCAGCUCAGACUUCCAGGAGUUUGUGAAUAAAUGUCUCAUUAAGAACCCAGCAGAGCGUGCAGACCUCAAGCUGCUGACGAACCAUGCCUUCAUCAAACGCUCUGAGGGGGAGGACGUGGACUUCGCUGGCUGGCUAUGCAGAACCCUGCGGCUGAAGCAGCCCAGCACACCCACGCGUACUGCAGUGUGACAGCCAUCGCUCAGCAGUCUGUGUCCUUGUCCCUGUGGGCACAGCGGCCGCCUUUGGGGACAGCAGUGGUGUGUGUUGUGGCAGGGGACCUGUGCCUGUGCAUUUGGAAAAGCAAACAAAGUGGAGAAAGAGAG